AAGUUCUAAAAAAUUAAAAAUCUAUGAUAGGGAUGAUAUUUUUUUUAGUAAUAAAAUAAAUUCACUCUACUACUUUUGCAUAUAUAUUAUUUUUUUACCCAUCACAUUUAAACUUCUUGUUCAAGGACAAGUGUGAAAGAAUUGUAUAUC
ensembl:ncRNA C46G7.110 ncRNA